AUCAAUUUCUCAGCCUUUUGAUUAAGAUCAAGUGUAAUAUAUGUUCUUAUCCGUUAAAUAUCUGAUAUGUUUUUAAAUAAUCGAUGCUAAACUUGCACACACCAACU
rnacentral:snRNA from 2 species